rfam:Felis catus isolate Cinnamon breed Abyssinian chromosome B3, whole genome shotgun sequence.
GCCUGUCUGGUUCAGUUGGAAGAACAUGUGACUCUUGAUCUUGGGGUUGUGAGUUUGAGUCCCAUGUUGGGUG